rnacentral:siRNA from 1 species
UAUUAUCCCCCGUGUUUUGUCC